rnacentral:lncRNA from 1 species
UGAUUUACACCCAAAACAACUCUUCAUAUUCAUCAGUAUUAAAGGCUUCAAUAAAAAAUCUCAUUUUCUCAACCCCCACAAACCCGAAACCUGUAUUCGUCAUCACCCCAUUUCAUGUGUCCGAAAUUCAAGCAGCCGUUAAAUGCUCCAAAAAAAAUGGUCUGCAAAUUAGAGUGCGAAGUGGAGGUCAUGAUCAUGAGGGUCUUUCCUCUAUUUCUGACGUUCCUUUCAUCAUCAUUGAUUUGAUAAAUUUCAUUGAGAUCAGUGUUGAUGUAGAAGAAAAAACAGCAUGGGUUGAAUCUGGUGCUACCAUCGGGCAACUUAAUUAUAGAAUUGCUGAGAAGAGCCAGAAUCUGCUAACCUUUCCGGUAGGAACUUGCCCUGGUGUGGGCGUUGGUGGACAUUUUAGUGGGGGCGGCUACGGUGUCCUGUUGCGUAAGUACGGGAUGGCUGCUGACCACAUAGUUGAUGCUCACAUGGUUGACGUCAAAGGUGAGAAAUUUUAAAGAACAAAUACAGAGAAAAUAGCUUCUCAAAAAAAAAUAAAAAAUAAAAGUUACAGAGAAAAUAGCAAUAAUAAGAUUCAGAGUAGGUUUAAUAGGUGAGUUUAUACAGGUGACAGAAUUUGAAGGUUUUUAUUACCAUUUCUCAAACUAUGGAGAGUGGCGACUUGCUAUAAUCAGUAUAAUUUGAGAAUGAAUGACAAACAAAAAUUAAUCAAUCAAUUAUUUUUCUAUCCAGAAUUUAGGAAAAAAAAUAUUAGGAGUGGAUAAAACUCAGAUCAAUUUUUCUAUAAUAUACCUCGGCCAAGUCUCUGGGGCUCAUUCAAACGGGGGCGGAUUUACUAUAGGACACUGGAAAAAAAAAUCUUUAAUAAUUUAUUUAGUUUUCCUAAAAUUCUCAAUAAAUUUUUUUGAAGCACCCACUAAUUUAUAGUCAAGCCUGCAAUAUAUGUUACACUUAAAUUCUCAUACGCCAAAUUUUUAAAUUUAAAUAAAAAAUAUGGGCUUUGCAAACUAAAAUCAAACCCAUAAAUAUUAAUAUUAAUUUAAUUUUUAGACGGGCCACAAACUCAUUAAUAAUUUUUUUAUUAAUCUUACUUUUUUCAAUUCCACCACUAAUCCAGGGCCCAUAAAAAAUUCCUAACAUCUUUUUAUUUUUGUUGUUUACAUAGAAAAAGACUUAUUUAAUAACAUUGAUAACAAAGUUGUAAUACAAUGUAUCAAUAUAUGAAUACUAGUAAAAGACAAUUGUAAAUAUAUAUUGUAGUAUUAUAAAUCUUUUAAAUUUAUAUCUUUAUUACUUUUUAAAUUUUUUUAUAUUAUCUUUGAAUAAGCCCUCAGUGAAUCACUAUGCUGUCUGCGCCCCUAUGCUGUCUGCGCCCCUGUUCAAUUAUAUGUCGAUUUGUCUGCAUUUUCCAUCUUUGUUUCGCUUCUUUUCAGGUAGAUUUCUAAAUAGAGAAUCAAUGGGAGAAGAUCUAUUUUGGGCCAUUCGCGGAGGCGGAGGAGCUAGCUUUGGAAUCAUUGUUUCGUGGAAAAUAAAUCUAGUUGCUGUUCCACCAACUGUGACGGUAUUCAACGUCCCGAGAACCUUAGAACAAAAUGCAACAAAACUACUUUUCAAAUGGCAGUGCAUUGCAGACAAGGUUCAUGAAGAUUUAUUCAUCUCACCCUUCUUAUUACGAGUGAAUUCCACUAUGGUCUCCGUAUUCUCGGCCUUGUUUCUUGGUGGGGUUGAUAGGCUGCUUCCAUUGAUGCAGGACAGUUUUCCUGAGCUCGGUUUGACCAGAAAAGACUGUAGAGAAAUGACUUUUGUUGAAUCUAUCGUCUAUCUUGAUGGAUAUGAGGUUGAAGAGCCGAUUAAUGUGGAUGUAUUGCUUGGUAGGGAUUUUCACGUUAGGUUUUUCAGAGGAAAAGUAGACUAUUUAACAGAACCAAUUCCCGAAGAAGCUUUCCAAGGAAUUUACGAUAUAUUUUUGGAACAGGAUCAGGAAACUAACGGCCUUCUAAUGUUUUUUCCUUAUGGUGGGAAGAUAAGUGAGAUUUCAGAGUCCGAAAUUCCGUACCCACAUAGAGCUGGCAACAUAUACACACUUUUAUACUAUGCGGGUUGGGAUCUAGAAUCAACUGAUGACACAUAUCAAAGGCAUGACAAUAUGCUCAAAAAGUUGUUCAAUUAUAUGACUCCCUAUGUUGCCAAAAAUCCUAGAACAGCGUAUAUUAAUUACAGGGAUCUUGACGUCGGAACAAAUAACAAAUUAGGCCACACAAGCGUCCAGGAAGCCAGUGUUUGGGGAAAAAAGUAUUUCAAAAAUAAUUUCUACAGGCUGGUGCAUGUGAAAACUAUGGUGGAUCCUGAAAAUUUCUUCAGAAAUGAACAAAGCAUUCCCCCUUUCAACUUGGUGAAAGAUGAACUGUGAGCAAGUCCAAAGCUGCCCUUGCUAGUUAAUAAACGUAGUGCGUGAUUAUUGUAUUGCUAAAUAAUUUCCGCUUUAUAUUUCUUUCAUGUUUUUGUUGUAAGGAGCUCAUGAGUAGGUGUGUCUUGUCUUUUUAUCUUUUUGAUUAAUAAAGAUUUGCUCGCACCGUGCAGAUUCGCUUGAAGAAAUUAAUAUUUUCAAUCAUAAGCCCUAACUUCACGGACUGACGUAAUAGCAACUAAAUAUGAAUAGCUUUGGGGAAAAUAAUUCUUUCGGUACUUUAUUCAAACAUCCAUUAGGUUUUUUAUAAAAGCCAAUAGUAGUACACGAUUCACAUUACUAGCUACUUAUAAGCAAAAACAGAUACAUACAAAGCAAUAAUACAUGGAAUGCGGAAAUAAUGGGGAAGAUUAUUCACAUUACUAGUCAAAACUAAGUCCAGGCAUGAUCCUAGUACGCGGAAAGCUUUGUUGGCUGUUGCUGUUAUCUGGACGUAUAUCAUGUAUAUCGUUGAAUUCUGAGCUUAAAACUAGGUUCAAGAUAAAGUAUUGCUUUGUCGGUUUGGGUAAUGAGUUUUGUAUGUCUUGUCAACUCUGUUCUAAGCGACAUGUCAGCGGAAUAAAAAGUGGAGCAGACGACAGCCACAUUGUGUCAGCCAAACUUCGUAAGUAAAGCAUGCGUUUGUCACGUGUGUUUACUUAUAAGUUUUAGCUUUAAACGACAGGCUAUAAAAUAAUUUUAGAAGAUGUCUAAUUUUGGUAAAAUAAUUUUGCAAUUUAUAUUCUUCACUGGAAAUAGAAUUUUCUAAGCUUGCAGGCUUGCAUUUGAAAAAAUCAUAAGAAGUUAAAUUUUUAUCCGAUUGGAUUGAAAUAUGUUUCAAAACAUUUUUGAAGAUGUCUGGUUCAACAUAUACAAAAUUAGAAUCAAAAUAAAUUUGACUAAUUACUAUAUUUUUUGAAACAACACAUCGUCAGCAAAGUUUCUUGCAAAAUAUUAUAUUUUUACUUCUACAAUUAUUAUCUAAACAUGCUUCUCUAUGACAAGUACCGAAAAUCAAGAAUCAAAAUUUGCCUAAAUCUUCCCUCUCAGCACAAAACCUAGUUCAAUUGACACAACUUUGAUCUCAUGACUCACCCUUACUUUUACUUAUGGCUGCACAUAGGAAACGAAUUUUGCUUCUUCACCUGUCUUUCUUCUUUCUCUCUUCUCUCGUCUUUUCUUUUUCUUUCUUUUUACCAAUCUCUCUUUCUCUUAUAAUGGAGAGAGCACAUAUAUGCACUUACAUAUUAAUGGAUAAGAAAAGACUAAAUUACCCUUAAUAUAAUGAAAUGACUAAAACAACCUAGAAUAAUUAGGGGUAUUACAAUAGGUCUACAACCUAGAAUAAUUAGGGGUAUUACAAUAGGUCUAUGUGGCCAUCUAAGUAAUCCUUGGAAGUAUGGGUAACUUUAUACCAAAAUUAAAGAUAAAAAGAUGAGACUAUACAUUUGUAAACAGUACUUGCUAUUGUGUCUUUCACGUUGAGUUAAUUUUAUCAAACAGUCUUUUCGUUGUUUGAUACAAAAAUUACGACGCCUUACUAGUUUUAUCUUAAUAAUUUUAUCAAAAUAUUACUUAAAAGUCAAAUUUACUAAAGACAAUCAAAAUUUAUUCCAAAGCCAUUAACUCAUAUAAUUUAAUAGCGUAAUGACCGGAAAAACUUGUAAGCCACAUGGUUUAAUAGAGUAAUGCAUAUAGUUUAAUAGUAUAAUGACUGAAAAACCUAUUGAGUCAUGUGUUUUAAUAGUGUAAUGUUAUUAAACUAUUAAAUCAUAUGGCUUUAAAAUUUUUCUGGACUUUAAUAAAGUCCAAGAUCUUGGACUAGAUUAGUAAUAUAUAUAUAUAUAUGAUCUUGGACUUCAUUAAAAUUUGAGAAAGCUAUUGAUCCAUAUGAUUUAAUAAUAUAGUGACAUUAACAAAAUUUAAAAUCCUUGACUAGAUGAGUACUCUCUCUCUCUAUAUAAAAUUUUCCAACGAAGGAUAUGGCAAGUCUUAAAGCUUGAUCUUAGCCGCAACUCCCUUUCAGGCGAAGUUCCACCAGAAAUUGGAAACUGUAACCAUCUCACUUACCUUGAAAUGAGCCAAAACAAACUCUCUAGUUCAAUCACACCUGAAAUUUCCAAUGUCAGAAUCCUCGAUUACUUGAAUUUAUCAAGAAACCACUUGAACCAAAACGUACCCAAAUCAAUAGAAUGCAUGAACAGCCUCACCAUUGCUGAUUUUUCAUUUAAUGAUUUCUUCGGUAAGCCUCGUCUUUUGCUGAAUGCCUCGUCUUUUGCUGGCAACCCUGAAAUCUGUGGCACUCUCCUUAACAAUUUGCAACUUGACACCAACCGCUCACCAGCCAGGAAAAGCCCCCCGGGGAUUUCAAGCUGAUUUUUGCAUUAGGCCUUCUGAUAUGCUCACUGAGUUUCGCUACUGCUGCCAUAAUCAAGGCCAGAUCAUUCAAGAAAACGGGUUCGGAUUCCUGGAAAAUGACAGUAUUCCGGGAGCUGGAGUUCUCAGUUAGUGAUAUCAUGGAAUGUGUCAAGGAUGGCAAUGUUGUAGGCAGAGGAGGAGCUGGGAUUGUGUAUCCUGGAAAAAUGCCAAAGGGGGUCGAAAUUGCUUGAAAAAACUGCUCGAUUUCGGCACACACAGCCAUGAUCAUGUCUUCAAAUCUGAGAUUCAAACACUAGGCAACAUCAGGCACAGGAACAUGGUCAGGUUACUAGCAUUUUGCUCCAACAAAGAAACCAGUCUGCUUGUUUAUGAGUACAUGAGAAAUGGGAGCUUGGGGAAAGUAUUGCAUGGCAAAAAAGGGGAGCUUCUUGGGUGGAAUUUGAGGUACAAAAUCGCCAUUGAAGCAGCUAAAGGCCUAUGCUACUUUCACCAUGAUUGCUAACCUUUGAUUGCUCGUAGUGAUGUGAAAUCAAACAACAUUUUGCUAAAUUCAGCCUUUGAAGCUCACAUCGCCGACUUCGGCCUCGCCAAAUUCUUGAUCGACGGCUGUGCAUCGGAAUGUAUGUCAGCAAUUGCAGGGUCGUAUGCACCAGGUAUUUACAUUUUACUUUCGUGCUGUUGGAUUAUUAUUAUUAUUAUUAUUAUUACUAUUUUAUGUUUGCAUUUUUCAAACUUCGGCGAUGGUGUUGACAUUGUACAAUGGAGGAAAAGAGCAACGAAUGAGAGGAAAGAAGAAUUUUUGAGCAUUCUUGAUCCAAGUUUAACGAUGGUACCAAAAUAAGAAGCAAUGCACUUACUUUUCAUUGCAAUGCUAUGCAUUCAAGAAAAUGGAAUUGAGAGACCAACAAUGAGAGAAGUUGUUCAAAUGCGAUCCCAACUCCCUCGUCAUUCCCCCGAAUUUAACCAAUCUUCAUCUUUUUCAUUGAAGGAUCUCGAAAAAGAUCAAUAGGGUUGCCCUAAUAAUAAAUUGAAACAAGAUCUAUUUUUUCGUUUUUUAGGGCUUUAAUUUAUUGGUGUUUUUUUUUUUUUUUAAGUUAGCUUGAUUUUGUUACAGUCCUUUUAUGUUCAAAGUUUAUCUUCUUUUAUUUUAUGUUUUUCCUCUUUUGGGCUUCGAUUAGCAGGGAGAGAGACGAUUUGGUGAGUGGUGACAAAGAGAAGUAUUGAUAAUUUAUAGGUACUUGCAUGCUCUUUGUAUUAUAUUAGGGUGUUAACAUACAUGAUAUUUAUAUUUCAUUGCUUUAUGCAAUCUCUCUUUUAUUUUUUAUUUUUUAUUUUUAUUUCUCGAUGAAUAUUAAUUUUAAGUGAUAUUAACAUAAGAAAAUAAUUUUUAUUUUUAACAAUAUGAAAAUAGCACUAUAAGCAAUGUGUGAGAACAAUUAAAUUUGAUUUUUUAAAUAUUUGAGAGAUCUUGCUUCCUUUUUAAAUUAUGAUUUUUAAAAUAAAUAUAAAGAUAAAAAAUAAUAACUUAUUGGGCCAUGAAAGUAGGAAGGUCCAGCCCACAUCCUAAUUGUAGGGCUUUGGACUUGGAAUAAAGUGGUGGAAUUAAAAAAAAAAAGGAGAUUCUUUAAUCACUGUCAAACAGUGAAGUCAAAUGGUCAGAUUCUAAAAUUUAUGACAAAUAAUUCUGUUGAGAUUUUCUAGUUAAUGUGGAUUUUUGUUACCUCCAACGCUACGCUAGCAUUCUAAUAUCUUUGUAAGAAUAUUUCUGUGGUGACCAACAAAGUGUUGGCCCCAUUGGUAAUGGAGUCCCCUUAAGUGGCUUGACUGGGUUUGCUCCCCAGUUCGAGUCGCAAGGAAGUCGCAUUUGUUGGGAGAACCUGUGCCUCCUGGUUCGAGCGGGGACUUCUAGUCUGGGUUGUGGUACAGGCUUAAAGGUGCCUCCCACAGUUGGGGCCCUCCCCAGGAUACCUCGUGAUUAAUAUCAAAAAAAAAAAAGAAUAUUUCUGUGGUGACAAAGAUUUUGUUAAAGCGAACACUUAAACAAAAUCAUCUUUUAUCCAAUUGCACUAUUUUGACAGACUUAUAAAUUAACCCUACCAGACAUUACAUAGAAUAGAUAAAUCAGUAAAAUGCAUGCUUUUCUGGAUUCUUACUUGUAUGGUUUUAUCUAUACCUUAAAAAUGAACUUAAUCAAUGCAAAGCUAUGAAUAUUUAGUUCCCAAAAUUUUCAAUUCUGCUGUUCAAUCUAAAUGUGGGAGCAGUAGUAAAGUCACUAUAGGACUAGCUGGGGUACGCCCCCGACUGACUUCAAAAAAAUUUUGAAGAAAAUUUUAAGUUAAAUCUUAUUUUCUUUGAAUCUAUGAAAGUGCCUCAUCUGUGUUUUAAAAUUAUAAAAAUAUCCUUAUUAAUCAUGUAAACUUUAAUACUUCCUCUAAUUCAAAAAUUGAAUUUAGGGAAAAUAUCCACCGUCCACUCGUUUUUUACACCUUUUUCAAAAAUACAUAAUUCCUUCAUUUUUUUGCUGGAAUCCACCUAAAGUUACAUUUUGUUUCACUUUUCCACUUCCGUUUGGAAUCCGUUAAGAAAACUAACGGAAACUUAAAAAAAUGACCAUUUUACCCCCAAAACGAAAAUUAAUGAGAGGAUAAAAGAAAUUGUAAUUUUUAAUUUUUAAUCUAAUUAUUUUUAAGGUGAAAUUGUAAUUUUUAAUUUUUAAUCUAAUCAUAAAAGAAAUUAAAAUUUAAUUUAAUUAUUUUUGGUAAUUUUUAAGGUGAAAUUGUAAUUUUUGUUUUACCCCUAAAACGAAAAUUAAUGAGAGGAUAAAAGAAAUUGUAAUUUUUAAUUUUUAAUCUAAUUAUUUUUAAGGUGAAAUUGUAAUUUUUAAUUUUUAAUCUAAUCAUAAAAGAAAUUAAAAUUUAAUCUAAUUAUUUUUGGUAAUUUUUAAGGUGAAAUUGUAAUUUUCGUUUUGGGGGUAAAAUGGUCAUUUUUUUAAGUUUCCGUUAGUUUUCUUAACGGAUUCCAAACGGAAGUGGAAAAGUGAAACAAAAUGUAACUUUAGGUGGAUUCCAGCAAAAAAAUGAAGGAAUUAUGUAUUUUUGAAAAAGGUGUAAAAAACGAGUGGACGGUGGAUAUUUUCCCUUGAAUUUAUUUAUUCAUAACUAGAGAUGGUUAUUGGGCCAAUCAUACCAAUUAUUAAAACUAAAUUUGAUACCCAAACAGUCCAUGGCAUAACAUACGUGGGCCAUGGGUCACGUUGGCCUAUCGUGCAACCUAGGCCAUCCCAUAAGCCUCACUAUAUAUAUAUAUAUAUCAUGAUUCUUUUGAACCAUAUCAAGUUAUCUACUAAGUUCAAGUGCUCAACAACAAUAAUAAAUAAUAAUAUUUGAUAAAUGAUAAAUAAUAAUAAAAUAUAAAUUACAAGAUUUUUAAAAAAAUUCUAUUAGCUAAACACACAUAUUACAUAAAACAUUAAGAGUCGAACCUAAAAUCUAAGUCUUCAGAAAGUUGCCUACUAAUUAGUGAAGUUAUGCCUAGAUUUCAACUUUGAACGGCUUAUGAGUUAAGUACUUAACAACUUAAGCUUAAAAUAAAAACAACAAGUAAAUAUGUUUCUUCCCAAUAUAUUUAUUUUAUUUGUAAUUUGUAGGUUUUCAUUUCAUAAAAAUAAAUUUUUUUAUUUGUCUCUCAAAUAAUGUUAUUUUUAAAUUAAUUAAGUAACAUUUCUAUUUAUUAUUUAAAAAUGAAAUUAUAAACAACAAUUCAAAUCAUUCAAUUAAAUUUAAAUUAAUUAUUUAAUAGAUUCAUCAAUGUAAAAUUAAAAAUUUAGAAAACAAAGUUUGAAAAUUUAAAUUUGAAAUAAAAUAAGAAAUUUAGAAAAAAAAUUUGAAAAAAUUGGAGUGGGCUCAUGGGCCUAUAACGAGCCUGUGCUUUAACGUACUGGGCCUAAGCAAGGCCCGUGCCAUGCCUAAGCAUGGCAUUACCCAUGGGCCAAAAAUGAUGGCCUGGCAUGGCCAAUUAAUGGGUCUUGCUCUCUCAUAGUGCUGUACGAACAUGAGACGUGUUGUGCCCAUGGAGCCAUUGGUCCACUGCUCAUUAGCCAUCUCCGUCCCUAGUUUAAAAAAUGAAUUCUUUGUGUAGUAAUAAAUCAAUGACUAUUAUAGUUAUUGUUAUAUAUUGUUAUUUGAAAUUUUUGAAAUUAUAUUGUAUCUUUUUUUAAGGUUUGAAUAGUAAUGAGAAAUCUCACUCAUUAAGUACUAAUUCUUACACUAUAUUAUUCACUCAAAUGACUGCAAGUAAAAAAUAUAUUAAUGGUCAGCUGAGCCACACUUAGAAAUUCAAAUUGUAUUAUAGGUUGAACAUAUCUCAGUUGAAAAAUAUUUUUUACUAUAUCCUUAUAUGUCAUUGUUAUUUAUUUAGAUGUACUUGAAACUGUAGUUUUAGAAAAUAAAACGGAGCAAAAAAAGGAACAUUUUAACUAUCCUCCAAAGUCAGUAAUCAUCUUGAUUACAAACCAUUCAAGAGCCUUUCAAUAAAGAACAUGAAACACUGUGAUAAUAAAAAGUUAUUAAAUUAUAACAUCUAAUCAUAUACAUAUUUGAUUGGAGAAACAAAAUAGAAAAAGAUCAACAUGUAAAAUGUUUCCCUCUCAUUUCAUAAAAUACUCACGAGUUCUUGAGAUUGAAUCUGUAUAGCCUAUAGGUAAUAUUGUUGAUCUUUUUAAGAACUAUAGUCACAUUAUCUACUUACACCAAUAACUCCUUGUUACCCCAAAAAAACCAUUAACCCUUGAUAAAAGGAAAAAGAAAACUAUUUAGUUAAUAACAAUGGAGUCCUUUUUGUUCGUUAAAAAUCAGACAAGUUAAAGAUUUCACGUUUUGACAUAUGUUUGUCUCUGUUUCCUUCCUCUCUCCUUCAGCCCUUCUCUACGUUCGUCUCUUUCAUUUAUUUAUUUAUUUAACUUCCUCCAAUUCCUUCUUGCUUUCUUCAUCUGCUCAAAUAAAUCGAUAGCUGUCAAAAGGAGAUCUCUCUACAAUUGCUGACUGAAGUUAAUGAUUUCAAUAUAUCUCGUACACACACAUAAAUACGCACUCUCUCUCUUAAAUCUUGCAUGAUGAAAAUUGGAACAUUUUUUUGUGGGUAUUGGCUAAAGUUGGCCAUUAAACCAAUUGGCUGUGACCAUUUCUAUGUAUUAUAUGUAUGUAUGCACAGCUGAUCUGCUUCAAUAACUUCUCCUUCUUCUCAAAUCAAUUAAAUUAAUGGUUGUUUGAUGAUGUUUUCUGAUGUUGUAUCAGCUUGAAAAAGUAUGUUUUAUGGUUGUGCAAAUUCAAUUGGUUGAUUUUCUACAAACCUAUCUUAUUAUCUUAAAAAAUUUGAAGACAAAUUAUCUAUGAAAAUCUAAUUACAAAGGAGAAUGUUGAAUCUGGUUCGUUAGCUAUGCUUUGAUCAAGAACCAGAUCCUCCCAAGAUUCUCAGCCAAGAUUAAUCAGGAUGCAAUAUCAGCUUAGAUCAACUUCAGAGAAUCAACUAAACCCAAUAAGACUCGUAACAAAAAGGAUUAAUUACAACCUUAGAAACCAAAACCAGCAAGAAAAUCAAUCACACAAAACAGAGCACAAGCUUUAACGUGGUUCAGCCAUUAAUGGCUUACAUCCACGAGUGAAUUCCUCAGACAGCUUUAUUGAAUGAUUCAAGAAGUUUUGUUACAGAGAUUCUAAGAACAAGAACAAGUAAGACACUUCCUCUCAGACUUCCCUCAAUCUCUAUCACGCACGAUGAUCUCCAAACCAGAAGGCUGCAGCUUAUAUACCAGUCUUGUAACAGCUCUAACAACCCAGAUUGCACAGCUCCUUGACACGUGUACUAUGAGUCUGUUAUUUAACGAACUCAGCUUCAGCUAACUAUCACGUGAAGAACCCGUGACUCCACUUAAGUUGAGCAUAUCCAAAACGCACUCAUGUGUUGCCGUUUCGAAACAAAGGAUUGGCUGUGCUUCUCACGUGAUCACUUAAAGCUUCUGAACACUACUGGAAACGCUGUCGUUUGCUGGCAAAGGUGUUUGAAUUCACCUUUCAGCCAACAAUACUCCACCUUGAAUCAAACACCCUGCAACUGAUACAUUCACCAACUGAUUCAUAUCAAGUUUUGCAGAUACCAACUAAGUCCAAACAUUUUUUGAACUUAGUUGCAGGAACCACCUUCGUGAGCAUGUCAGAGGGGUUGUCAUCAGUAUGUAUUUUAACCAUCUUGAUAACUCCCCUGGAGACUUCAUUUCUUAUGAAGUGAAGUUUAAUAUCAAUAUGUUUGGUCUUCUCAUGGUGAGCUGGAUUCUUACACAAAUGCAGUGCACUGGAGCUGUCACAGAAAAUUGGUACAGAUUCUUGUUUUAAACCGAGCUCAGUGAUUAAGCCCUUGAGCCAAAUGGCCUCCUUUGCAGCUUCAGUGGCAGCUGUAAAUUCUGCUUCUGUUGUGGAAAGUGCCACUACAUGCUGCAAGUUUGCCUUCCAAUUAAUCAGGCAGCCAUUUAACAUAAACAAGUAUCCUGUGAGUGAUCUUCUUCUGUCCAGAUCUCCUGCAUAGUCAGAAUCUACAUAGCCCCACAACAUUUCUUCUGUUCCAGAGUUCUUUCCAUAUACCAGACCAACAUUCAAAGUACCCUUUAGAUACCUUAGUAUCCAUUUCACCCCUUUCCAGUGUUCUUUGCCUGGAGAUGCCAUGUAUCUGCUGACAACACUCACAGCAUGUGAGAUGUCAGGCCUAGUCAGCACCAUGGCAUACAUAAGGCAUCCUACUGCCUUUGCAUAUGGAAUAUUGGCCAUCUCAAGUCUUUCUUCUUCAGACUUUGGACAAUAUAGGUUGCAAAGUUUGAAGUGUGCUGCUAAGGGGCCUUGUACAGGUUUAGAAUCCUCCAUAUCAAAGGUUUCCAGUAUUUUCUUCAAGUAUUUCUCUUGAGAUAAAAAUACCAGUCCUUCACUUCUGUUCCUUCUUAUAUCAACUCCUAAUAUCCUUUUAGCACUUCCUAAAUCCUUCAUGUCAAAUGCAGUGCCAAGCAAUGUCUUCAAAGCAUCUAUUUCAGAUCUUUCUUCACAAGCAAUCAACAUAUCAUCUACAUAUAGCAGUAGAUAGAUAUGUUUCUCAUGACUUAGCUGUUUAAGGUAGACACAGCAAUCAUAAUUGCACCUCUGAAAUCCAUGAGUGGUUAUAAACUCAUCGAAUUUGAGGUACCAUUGCCUAGGAGAUUGCUUCAGGCCAUAGAGGGAUUUCUUUAGCAAGCAUACACAGUCUCUUCCGUCAGGAGCUUCAUAUCCUUCUGGUUGACUCAUGAAAAUUUCUUCCUGAAGAUUUCCAUGCAAAAAAGCAGUCUUAACAUCAAGCUGUUCCAGCUCCAGAUUCUGUGUUGCUGUUAUAGCCAUCAGUACUCUUAUGGAAGCAUGCCUUACUACAGGGGAGAAAACUUCCUUAAAAUCAACACCCUCCAUCUGAGUGUACCCCUUUGCAACUAACCUAGCCUUAAACCUCCUUGGUUCAGCUGCAGUCAUACCCUCUUUGAUUCUGUAUAUACACUUGCAACCAACAAUCCUCCUAUUCUUAGGUCUUUUAACCAGUUCCCAGGUACAAUUCUUGUACAGUGAGGUCAUUUCUUCAUCCAUAGAUUUCUUCCAUUCUUUUGCAUACUGACAGUUAAUGGCUUCUUUGAAAUUCUGUGGUUCUUCAGCAUUUAUCUCAUGAGCAGAAUGUAAUGCAAAAGCAAUCAGAUCAGCAUAGCCAUACCUCUUAGGUGCUUUGCUUUGUCUCUUCUGUCUAUCUCUUGUCAACUGAUAAUCCAUUACUUGUGAUUGAGUUGAUCCAGCUUCUUGAAGUGACUCCUGUCUUCCAAUAUCAUCAGCACUUUCAGCUGAUUCUGUAUCAUCAUUCUGAUUCAGGUUGCCAGGUGACUCCACCUCAAAAUGUUCCUCAUGAACUUGAUCAGCUCUCACACUGUUUCUUUGAAUACUAUCCACUGCUGCUUCUUCAUUGAACUUGACAUCUCUGCUUACUAUGCACCUGGGUGGAGAGAGAUCAGUACACCAAAGCUUAUAUCCUUUGGUUCCCUCUGGAUACCCAAUGAACACACAUUUCAGUGCUCUGGGUGCUAGUUUUCCUUGGCUUAUGUGAGCAUAACUCAGACAACCAAACACCUUAAGGUCUUUAUAACUGGCUUGUUUACCAUACCAAAGCUCAAAAGGUGUCUUGAAUUCAAUGGCAGUGGAGGGGCUCAAAUUCACCAGGUAGCAAGCUGUGUUGAGAAUCUCAGCCCACAAAUUCUUAGGUAGCUUGGCUUGAAUCAUCAUGCACCUCACCUUAUCCAUGAGAGUCCUAUUCAUCCUCUCAGCUAAGCCAUUCUGCUGAGGUGUCAUUUUUACAGUUUUAUGCCUUGCAAUACCUUCCUUUGCACAAAAUUCAUCAAACACCUGGUUGCAAAACUCCAAUCCAUUAUCAGUCCUCAAUUUUUUCACUGUUUUUCCAGUCUGUUUUUCAACCAAGACCUUCUAGUUCUUGAAUUUUUCAAACACCUGUUCUUUAUUCUUAAGCACAUAAAUCCAGACUCUUCUUGAAAAAUCAUCAAUUAUAGACAAAAAAUAUCUUGCUCCUCCCAGUGAUGCUACUUGUGCAGGUCCCCACAAGUCUGAGUGUAUGUAAUCCAGAAUGCUUCUAGUAGUGUGAACUGAUGACUUGAAACUGGUUCUUGUAGAUUUCCCUAGGACACAAUCUUCACAAAACACCAUCUCACCAAUUGUAUCACUGCCUAACAGCCCCUGUUUUGACAACUCUUUAAGGCCUCUCAGACUCAUAUGUCCAAGCCUUAAGUGCCAUAGCCUAGUUUUGUCAACACUAGAGCUAGAUGACACUGACACCAUCCCUGUCACAGUUGUCCCUUCUAACACAUAGAGACCAUUCUUCCUGAUUCCUUUUAACAGAACCAGUGACCCCUUUACAACACUCAUUAUACCCUGCUGGACCUUAACAACACAACCUAUCUGAUCCAACAUCCCCAGUGAGAUCAAAUUCCUUUUUAAAUCAGGUACAUGCCUCACUUGUUUGAGUUCAAGAAUUGAGUUAUCAUGCAAUUUCAGUUUAAUAACCCCAAUCCCUAUAACUCUACAGAUUGCAUUAUUCCCCAUCAUCACCCUACCACCAUCAUAUUCUUGAUACUCAGAGAAAUGAUGUUUAAAAGGGCACAUAUGAAAAGAACACCCUGAGUCAAGCACCCACUUACCUUCCUGAUCAACAUCAGAGGCAAUUAGGACUCCAGCUGACUCAUAACCUUCUUCUUCAACUACUGCUGCAUCACCAUUUUCACUUCUUUGCUCUUUGUGCUGUUUGUUCUUCCUUUCUGGACAAUCUCUCUUAAAGUGACCUUCCUUAUGGCACUGGAAGCACUUAAGAGUCUUGUUCUUGUCUUUGGCCUUCCCUUGCUUCUUUUUCUGGUUCUUGUAAUGUUGACCCUUUGCAGUUAACCCUUCCCCAGUUUCUUGAUCAAGAUUCUGUCUCUUUUCUUGCAGCUCCCUUGUGUUUAGAGCUGACUUAACUUCAUCCAAAGAGAGAGUUUGUCUCCCAUACAUGAGUGCAUCAACAAAGUUCUUGUAAGACCCUGGAAGAGAGCUAACCAGCAGCAAAGCUUUUCCCUCAUCAUUUAAAGCUUCAUCAAUUGUUGCAAGUGUAUCACACACUUGAUUGAAUUCAUCAAUGUGCUUAUCCAGUGAUGAGCCUUCUGUCAUCUUUAGAGUGAACAUCCUUUUCUUGAUGUACAGAUGUCUCAUUGACAACUUCUCUGAUUAUAGAAUCAGCAAGGCUAAGGAUUAUGGUACCUUUUGCCUUCUUGUCAAUUUCAGCCAUCUGCUCUGGAGUCUUUGAAGAUGAUACUCCCUUCCCUUCUAUCUUAGUUGAAGCUUCAAGUGCAUCACCAAGACCUUGAGUGACCAAGAGAGCCUGGAUUUUAACAUUCCACAUGUUGAAGUCGUUUCUGCCAUUAAACUUCUCCAAAUCGACCUUCUGAGUAGCCAUACCUGAAUCUUGGUUAAGAACCAAGCUCUGAUACCAAUUGUUGAAAUCUGGUUCUUUUCUUUGCUUUGAUGAAGAACCAGAUCCUCCUAAGAUUCUUAGCCAAGAUUAAUCAAGAUGCAAUUUCAGUUUAGAUCAAUUUCAGAGAAUCAACUAAACCCAACAAAGCUCGUAAUGAAAAGAUUAAUUACAAACACAGAAACCAAGAAACCAGCAAGAAAACCAAUCACACUAAAACAGAGCACAAGCUUUAACGUGGUUCAACCAUCAAUGGCUUACAUCCACGAGUGAAUUCCUCAGGCAGCUUUAUUGAAUGAUUCAAGAAGUUUGUUACAGAGAUUCUAAGAACAAGAACAAGUAANNNNNNNNNNNNNNNNNNNNNNNNNNNNNNNNNNNNNNNNNNNNNNNNNNNNNNNNNNNNNNNNNNNNNNNNNNNNNNNNNNNNNNNNNNNNNNNNNNNNNNNNNNNNNNNNNNNNNNNNNNNNNNNNNNNNNNNNNNNNNNNNNNNNNNNNNNNNNNNNNNNNNNNNNNNNNNNNNNNNNNNNNNNNNNNNNNNNNNNNNNNNNNNNNNNNNNNNNNNNNNNNNNNNNNNNNNNNNNNNNNNNNNNNNNNNNNNNNNNNNNNNNNNNNNNNNNNNNNNNNNNNNNNNNNNNNNNNNNNNNNNNNNNNNNNNNNNNNNNNNNNNNNNNNNNNNNNNNNNNNNNNNNNNNNNNNNNNNNNNNNNNNNNNNNNNNNNNNNNNNNNNNNNNNNNNNNNNNNNNNNNNNNNNNNNNNNNNNNNNNNNNNNNNNNNNNNNNNNNNNNNNNNNNNNNNNNNNNNNNNNNNNNNNNNNNNNNNNNNNNNNNNNNNNNNNNNNNNNNNNNNNNNNNNNNNNNNNNNNNNNNNNNNNNNNNNNNNNNNNNNNNNNNNNNNNNNNNNNNNNNNNNNNNNNNNNNNNNNNNNNNNNNNNNNNNNNNNNNNNNNNNNNNNNNNNNNNNNNNNNNNNNNNNNNNNNNUCAAGAUUCUGUCUCUUUUCUUGCAGCUCCCUUGUGUUUAGAGCUAACUUAAUUUCAUCCAAUGAGAGAGUUUGUCUCCCAUACAUGAGUGCAUCAACAAAGUUCUUGUAAGACCCUGGAAGAGAGCUAACCAGUAGCAAAGCUUUUCCCUCAUCAUCUAAAGCUUCAUCAAUUGUUGCAAGUGUGUCACACACUUGAUUGAAUUCAUCAAUGUGCUUAUCCAGUGAUAAGCCUUCUGUCAUCUUUAAAGUGAACAUCCUUUUCUUGAUAUACAGCCUGUUGGCCAAGGAUUUCUUCAUGUACAGGCUUUCCAAUUUCUCCAUCAAACCAGCAACAGAUGUCUCCUUGGCAAUUUCUCUAAUUACAGAAUCAGCAAGGCUAAGGAUUAUGGUACCUUUUGCCUUCUUGUCAAUUUCAGCCAUCUGCUCUGGAGUUUUUGAAGAUGAUGCUCCCUUCCCUUCGAUCUUGGUUGAAGCUUCAAGUGCAUCACCAAGACCUUGAGUAACCAAGAGAGCCUCGAUUUUAACCUUCCACAUGUUGAAGUCGUUUCUGCCAUUAAACUUCUCCAAAUCUACCUUCUGAGUAGCCAUACCUAAAUCUUGGUUAAGAACCAAGCUCUGAUACCAAUUGUUGAAUCUGGUUCGUUAGCUAUGCUUUGAUCAAGAACCAGAUCCUCCCAAGAUUCUCAGCCAAGAUUAAUCAGGAUGCAAUAUCAGCUUAGAUCAACUUCAGAGAAUCAACUAAACCCAAUAAGACUCGUAACAAAAAGGAUUAAUUACAACCUUAGAAACCAAAACCAGCAAGAAAAUCAAUCACACAAAACAGAGCACAAGCUUUAACGUGGUUCAGCCAUUAAUGGCUUACAUCCACGAGUGAAUUCCUCAGACAGCUUUAUUGAAUGAUUCAAGAAGUUUUGUUACAGAGAUUCUAAGAACAAGAACAAGUAAGACACUUCCUCUCAGACUUCCCUCAAUCUCUAUCACGCACGAUGAUCUCCAAACCAGAAGGCUGCAGCUUAUAUACCAGUCUUGUAACAGCUCUAACAACCCAGAUUGCACAGCUCCUUGACACGUGUACUAUGAGUCUGUUAUUUAACGAACUCAGCUUCAGCUAACUAUCACGUGAAGAACCCGUGACUCCACUUAAGUUGAGCAUAUCCAAAACGCACUCAUGUGUUGCCGUUUCGAAACAAAGGAUUGGCUGUGCUUCUCACGUGAUCACUUAAAGCUUCUGAACACUACUGGAAACGCUGUCGUUUGCUGGCAAAGGUGUUUGAAUUCACCUUUCAGCCAACAGAGAAGAAUCAGGAUAAAAAAUUUUUUUUAAAAAAGAAAGAAACGUGGAGCAGGAGAUUGAGAUGGAUCAAGAAGUACUAAGGGAGAGAGAAAAAAAUUUAGAAUUUUAAAAUUAUUAUUUAUUUAUUAUGGCUUAGAUGUUAACAAUUCUGAAACUUACUUUGUCAACAAGUAGCUGUGGAUUAAAAAAAUAAAGAGUUGAAUUUGUUCAUUUAAAUCCUAAGAAAUUUUUUAUUCAUUUUCACCAAUUCAAUUUAAUUUAAUUUAUUUUUUAUCUUUAUGUGAUUAAAUUUUCCUUUUUUUUUUUUUUUUUGAACUUGAACUCUUGAUUUUUUGCUUCAACAAGAAGUGGCCACACCUAAAUUUUUACCAUUGCAAAUUCUUGAGGGGAAUUUUCUUGAUCCACCCACAUAGGUAGUGAGAGGCCUACCUCAAUCCACUUUUUAAAACUGCGAGAGUAGAGGCCCGAACCCAUGUCUACCUUUAUCUAAUUUAAGGACGGUUACCAAUGGACUUGGGCUGCCAAUCAUGUGGGUUCUUCUUUAGAGAUACUAUACAACAUCCUUAUUUCUUAAGCACUUUCGAAGUGUGUUUGAGAUGGUUGUUGGAAGAUUGAAAAAUGAUUUUGCUAAACUAAAUGAUAAUUUUACUGUUUGACUUUUUUUUUAACUUUUUUUUUGUAAAGUCACCUCUUGAAGCAAAUUAGUAAAAAUUGGGUACAAAGCAUUAGACUACAUACAUUUGCAGGCUGACUACCCCGACCACCCGAGGCAAAAAAUAUAAAUCCAAGAUAAAGAUAUAAAAUUUAAAAAUUUACCACGUUAAUGUAAAUUUUAAAGUCCGGCCCCUUUGUUUUAUACUAAAUUUUGUAAUAGACUAAUAAAAUUUAUGGUUUCCAACACCUAAAAAUCUUAAAUCAUUGUGGAAACAUCAACAUGUUGGACUAUAGUCACUUAAAGUCCGGCCCCUUUGUUUUAUACUAAAUUUUGUAAUAGACUAAUAAAAUUUAUGGUUUCCAACACCUAAAAAAUAAAAGUUAUCAAAUAUUUAACUAACUUCUUUACCGCAGAGUAUUUCUCUAAUAUAACUAUAGUUUUCACAUUAAUUGUUUCUUCAAAAAAGAAACGUAAUCUUAAAUCAUUGUGGAAACAUCAACAUGUUGGACUAUAGUCACUUACUACACCGUAUAGAAGAUAAUGUACAUUAUAAUCUCACAUUUAUGACAAUUACGUACAUCCACUUGAGUCGCCACAAGAAUUUUCUAUAAUGAAGAAAAUAAAAAAUAGAAACAAAACUCUUGAGACAAUGUUUAAAUUUUAUUUACUGUAACUUAUAAUUAUUAAAAAUAGUAUAAAAUAAAUAAUAAAUAAGUAAAUUAUGUAGGAUCGGUCUUAUAUUUUUAUUUUAUUUUUAAUAAUUAUAAAUUACAGUGUUACACUACAUAUAAUUAAAAAAGACCCGACUCUUUUACACACACACACACAUAAUGAUAAUAGAUUCCAAAACAUCUUUACAUAAUUAAGGUAACUUUGUAGAGAUUGGAGAUGUAUCAGUAUCAAAAUAGAAAUCCUAAAAUACGCAUAAAAUGUUGCGGCUCCUGUGGUUGGGGUGGUGGGGGUUUUAAAUUUGAGCAGUGCUAGCGACAGUCACUCUCAUGAGAGACUGAUUCAGUCGUUAGCUUCCUCUGCCGACAUGUGUCUGAUAUUUUGAUUUCCGUAUAAUUUUAAAUUAAUGUUAAAAUAUUAAUACCUUUUAAUUUUAUUUUAAUACUUUUAUGAGUAUGUGUACAUAAAAAUAAAUAAUAUUAAAAAAACUAAAAUAAUUAAUAUUUUAACAUUAAUUUAAAAUUAUACAUAAACUAAAAUAGCGGACACGUAUUAACAACAACACUCUUCUUUAAAUUUUUUAUUACCACCCCUAAUCCCUUCCAACCCCACACUGACUUUUAAUUUAGAUUUGCAACAUCUGUUAAUAUUGAAGACAUAAAUUAGGCUGCAAUCACAUCAAUCAGCUAUCGUGACGAUAUAUACUUAAUUUGAGGAUAAAAUUUUCACCAUGACCCUUCAAUGUUAAUCCUCAGCCAUUCUACACUCUUCUAAAGGUUCGUCGUGAUGAUUCAAUCAAACGGCUGUGAUGAGCUCAAUUGAUGGCUUUGAUUUCUUCUUCCUGCUGAUAAACCCUCAUUAUGAGACUCCGUCAAACAAUUCUUCCCUUAACUUGCGGCAAUCCAAUAAAAUUAAUUAAAAAUCAUCAAAUCUUGGAAAACAAAUAAUUUCACAUAAUUUAAAUCAUGAUUUAUGUGCUUAUGUCAUUUUAAAAAUAAAUUGACAAAUUUUAAUUGUCUUUUGAAUUAAUUUAAAAUUAAAUUAACUUUGACCAUUUUAAUUUUUAUUAUUUCUGUUCGUUCGUCUUUUUUAUUAUUGAUCAAACAAAUAACUUUGACUCGUUCACUUGUGACUAUACUACAAGCAUGCGUGCGGACUUGAAGAGUUUAAACAAGGCCGUUCGGUCUGUCUCGUUCUCAGCAACUCUAGAAAAUAUUAUUGCCAAUUACAUAUUGGGUUUUGGCUUUGUCAAAAUUUGAUGUUAAAGAAUGGUCAGUGUUAUGUUACGUUAAACGUAACAUACACAUACUCACAACAACAAUAACAUAAACUGAAUGUGUGUAGGUUACGUUUAACGUAACGUAGAAUGAUCCUAAAAAAUAUGUAAAUUAGCACUCAAGUAAAAAAGAUUACAGAAAUUUCUUUUGCCGACAAACCUUUUAUUAUAUUUAUUGAUAUUUAAAAUAAUAAGAUAACUUCCGUAAUGUAAUUAAUGAAUAAAUAAAAUAAGUUAGUCAAGCAGGUGGCAAGUCAAAAAAAUGUUAAAAGACGUGCAUGGGGGCAGCACCAACUUGACCGGCAACAAUUAACCACAAAGUUUUCUUUCCAAUAAACUUUCAAAUUUUGGAUUAAAAAAAUAUUUUCUUUCAAUUGGUGGUAGCAAGAUACUGGUCGAUUCUUCUAGAAUUUUUGGUUUUUUAUAAUAUAUUAAUUAUGACAUGUUUAAUUAAUUUUAUUUACAACGUACAAGUCAUCACAGAAAAUUAUUAAUUAACGAAAAAGUUGACUUUCCAAUAUACUUCCAAAUUGUGCUGGAGAUAUAUAUCUAUUGGGCUACUGAAAUUAGUUAAGUAAUAUGUCUAUUCAGAGAGAAACACGUACGUGCAACCGCCCCACUACUUUAAAUAAUAAAUAGUGUUAAGUUAUGCAGCUAGCAGAGCAGUAAGUUUGAGAACGGAACUCUCAAAUCUACUAAAUUUAAUAUCAAAGCGCGUCUCAUAUCCAACGUCCAAGAAGUAGAUAUCCUUCAGGAAAGAUCAAAGGGAAGGAGAAGGUUGAUUGAGACUGCUUGCUACUGGGACCUAUUUUCUUGCCUUAAGAGGUAUAGUCUUUAGGGAUUACACAUAACCGAAAAAGAUAAUGGAUUUCAUAGUAGAAUCCAUUGAAAGCUGAGGUGGUGGAAUAAUCCGAUACAAGUUUUUCUUCUACACAAGGUUUGGAAUUUCAUUACGAGGAAGACGAAGUUUCUUUUCCUGUUGGUCAAAUUUUAAUCAAAAUGCAGCAAGUAUUUUGUAUGAGCUACAUAUCCGAUCAAGAUAUUUAAAAAGCUAGUCACCCAAGCACUUCAAAUAAUUGAAACAAAAAUAGAAUUGAUGAGAAUCGAAAAAUCAACUUAGGAUUAAGAAAUGUUGAGAUUGACAAAUUUUGGUUUGAUAUUGUGGUUGAAUAGCUAUAAUUUUUAAGUUAUAAUAUUAAACUGUUCAGUAAAUACUUACUGAUGUGGUUUCAACAUUUUAGCAUUAUUGAUUAAUUUUAACCUUGUAACAUCUUUACUAUUUUUUGUUGAAAUUUUGAUUUUAGAUUCAUAUUUACCAUACACUAUUAACUUUUAUUUCAAAACUAUAUAUAUAAAGUACUGAUUUAGUGCAUGAUCUUAGACUUUAUAAAAUCCCAAGAAAGCUAUUAAAUCAUAUGAUAUAUAUAACCAAACAGAGCCUUUGAUUUAAAAAAAAAGUAUUUACAUGUGUCAUUUACAAAAAAAAUGUGCGGACAAUAUUGUUUUAUCAAGUAUAUAAUCACUAGUAGUAAAAACAAUUAAAUUUUCAAUAAAAAUUAUCUAAAUUUAAACAUUAAACUAAAUUUAACUACUUCCUCCAUAACUAUGAUCAACAACUGCCUUCUACCUCAAACUUAUUUAAAAAAUAUUUGUCUACGUUUACUAAAACGCUUAAUUUUAUUUUUUUGGACUAUCAUAUGUUGAUUUUAUUUUUUCUGAUUAUUAUGUCUCAUAACUAUUUAGCUUUUUAGAGUUUAUAUUUAGGACUUGUUUGUUAGAAGUCUGAAGUAUGAAACUUGAUUAAUUUUUGGCCUUUUUAAAAUUUUGUUUAUUUAUUUUUUGUAACUUAAAUAUGAUUUUUAGACAUUUACAUCUUAAUAGAAAAAGUAAUUUUUUGUGCUUUUUUGUCUAAAUGAAAGAAAAGACUUGAAUGAGAAGUAAGUAUUAUAUUCCAACAAUAUCUCUAUAAAAUAUACUUAUUUUCUAAACAAUAAAAGCUAAUACCUUUUUUUUUUCUAUGAUUUACUAGGAUAUAAACGUCAAAUAAUCAUGUUUAAGAUAUUUUUCAUUUAUAAAAACAGACAUAAUGACACUUAUGUUCACAUAUUUAAAAAUGAAAAAUAAACAUGUCAUUUAAAUAUUCGUAUUCAAAUCUAUUCAGAAUUCAAAAAAAUUUAGACCUAUUCAGAUUUUAGAUAAAAAGACAAACACUAUCUUAAUUUUUGAUCUAAUUACUAACUUCUUAUUACAAUUUCAAUUCAUUGCUUUGUUUGUUCAACAAAAAUUCAUACUAGCACCAACAUGUUCUCUUGAUGCAUGAAGAUAAUGCUACUUGUAUUGUUCAAAUUAGAAAAAAAUAUAUAAGUGAUAUAUAAGCACUUUUUACUAAAAUUCUUCUGCACUCAUGAGCUCUAAUAAACUAAAAAAAUGAAUGCCAAUAAAUGCAUCUACUAAAAACUUUGCCCCUUUGCGGAUAAUAAUAUAUGUAUGUAUGUGUGAGUAUGUAUAUGUAUAUAGUAUGCAUGUAUAAGUGUGUAUAUAUGUAUAUAUGUAUGUAGCUCGGUUUACCUUCGGAAAAUUUUAUUAAUACCUCUUGCUUUUUUAGUUUUUCAUAUAAUAAUAUAAUUUUUAUUUUAUCUUUAAAUAUGCUCUCGAUCCAAGUAUUCAACUCUAUUUUUUUUAAUUGAAAUUAGAUACCUUUUUUACAAAAUAAUUAAAUUAAUAUUUGUUGAAUAAAUUGAAAUCAUUGGGAGCUAGAACAUUGCUACUACUUUGAUUCAUUAUAAAAAAAAAAUGUUAUGAUUGAUCUAAGUGAAAGAAAAAUAUAUCACCGUAUUAACAUCAUCAAUAGUAUUAGGAAGUUAUAAAAUAGUAACAAUCGAAAAAUAUUUUUUAAGAGUUUUGAGGUGCGUAUAUAUGUAUAUACUUCCUCAUUUCUAUGCACCGAUAUUUACAAUAAAUUUAAAAAAUUAGAGGGGCUAACAAAAAGGGCUUGGUUCACCCCUAUGUGGUUGGUAGCGAAUUCACACUUAGCCAUUGACUUUUGAUUCUUGGAAGCACUCCUGAUCAAUUUUUUUUUUCAAAAAAAGGUAAGGGGUGAGUAAACCUAAAUACAGUUUUUUUACUCUCUUCACCACUCCCAAAUAAGCCCAAAUACAAUUUUUACUCCCCUUACCACCCCCAAUAAUCGAAUCCAAAUUUUAAUAGAGGUUACCACUGCACUACAACUAACCCAACCACACCCUUGCGCUCCUGAUCAUUUGUGUAUUGUGUAUAUAUAUAGGUUAAUAUCUUUGGCUCCUUUCAGUGGAUCUGUCAGUAACAUCAAAAGAAAUGAAGCCUCAUGGUUUGUUCUGCCCAAACAUUCUCUCAUUUAUUUCUUCUCUUUUAUUGUUAUCUCAUGGGGUGGCUUUGGCAGCUGAAAAUCAUGAAAAAUUUCUCAAAUGUCUUUCUCUACAGUCUGACACCAUUUCUGAAGUGCUUUACACCCAAAACAACUCUUCAUAUUCAUCAGUAUUGAAGGCUUCAAUACAAAAUCUCGUUUUCUCAACCCCCGAAAACCCGAAACCUCUAUUCAUCAUUACCCCAUUUCACGUGUCCGAAAUUCAAGCAGCCAUUAAAUGCUCCAAAAAAAAUGGUCUGCAAAUUAGAGUAAGAAGUGGAGGUCAUGAUCAUGAGGGUCUUUCCUCUAU